UACGUAGGUGGCGAGCGUUGUCCGGAUUUACUGGGCGUAAAUGGAGCGUAGGCGGAUUUUUAAGUGAGAUGUGAAAUACUCGGGCUCAACUUGAGUGCUGCAUUUCAAACUGGAAGUCUAGAGUGCAGGAGAGGAGAAUGGAAUUCCUAGUGUAGCGGUGAAAUGCGUAGAGAUUAGGAAGAACACCAGUGGCGAAGGCGAUUCUCUGGACUGUAACUGACGCUGAGGCUCGAAAGCGUGGGGAGCAAACAGG
rnacentral:rRNA from 1 species